GAUUAACGCUGGCGGCAUGCCUAAUACAUGCAAAUCGAACGAAGCACUUGUGCUUAGUGGUGAACGGGUGAGUAACACGUGGGUAACCUGCCCAUCAGAGGGGGAUAACACUUGGAAACAGGUGCUAAUACCGCAUAAUUCCUUUUACCGCAUGGUAAAAGGCUGAAAGGCGCUUCUGGUGUCACUGAUGGAUGGACCCGCGGUGCAUUAGCUAGUCGGUGGGGUAACGGCCUACCGAGGCGAUGAUGCAUAGCCGACCUGAGAGGGUGAUCGGCCACAUUGGGACUGAGACACGGCCCAAACUCCUACGGGAGGCAGCAGUAGGGAAUCUUCGGCAAUGGACGAAAGUCUGACCGAGCAACGCCGCGUGAGUGAAGAAGGUUUUCGGAUCGUAAAACUCUGUUGUUAGAGAAGAACAGGAGAAGUAGUAACUGGCUUCUUUUUGACGGUAUCUAACCAGAAAGCCACGGCUAACUACGUGCCAGCCGCCGCAGUAAAAC
rnacentral:rRNA from 1 species